UAUAGAGUUUGAUCCUGGCUCAGAUUGAACGCUGGCGGCAUGCCUUACACAUGCAAGUCGAACGGCAGCGCGGGAGCAAUCCUGGCGGCGAGUGGCGAACGGGUGAGUAAUACAUCGGAACGUGCCCAAUCGUGGGGGAUAACGCAGCGAAAGCUGUGCUAAUACCGCAUAAGAUCUACGGAUGAAAGCAGGGGAUCGCAAGACCUUGCGCGAAUGGAGCGGCCGAUGGCAGAUUAGGUAGUUGGUGAGGUAAAGGCUCACCAAGCCUUCGAUCUGUAGCUGGUCUGAGAGGACGACCAGCCACACUGGGACUGAG
rnacentral:rRNA from 1 species